rnacentral:rRNA from 1 species
GAUGAACGCUAGCGAUAGGCCUAACACAUGCAAGUCGAGGGGCAGCGCGGGUAGCAAUACCUGUCGGCGACCGGCGCACGGGUGAGUAACGCGUAUGUAACCUGCCCUCAACAGGGGGAUAACCCGGCGAAAGUCGGACUAAUACCGCAUAAAACAGGGGUCCCGCAUGGGAAUAUUUGUUAAAGAUUUAUCGGUUGCGGAUGGGCAUGCGUACCAUUAGGUAGUUGGUGAGGUAACGGCUCACCAAGCCUUCGAUGGUUAGGGGUUCUGAGAGGAAGGUCCCCCACACUGGUACUGCGACACGGACCAGACUCCUACGGGAGGCAGCAGUGAGGAAUAUUGGGCAAUGGGCGAGAGCCUGAACCAGCCAAGUCGCGUGAAGGAUGACUGCCCUAUGGGUUGUAAACUUCUUUUACAAGGGAAUAAAAUGAGAUACGUGUAUUUUAUUGAAUGUACCUUGGGAAUAAGCAUCGGCUAACUCCGUG